UACGUAGGUGGCAAGCGUUGUCCGGAUUUACUGGGCGUAAAGAGCGCGCAGGCGGUCGUUCAAGUCGCGUGUGAAAGCCCACGGCUCAACCGUGGAGGGUCAUUGGAAACUGGGGGACUUGAGUGCAGAAGAGGAAAGCGGAAUUCCACGUGUAGCGGUGAAAUGCGUAGAGAUGUGGAGGAACACCAGUGGCGAAGGCGGCUUUCUGGUCUGUAACUGACGCUGAGGCGCGAAAGCGUGGGGAGCAAACAGG
rnacentral:rRNA from 1 species